rnacentral:rRNA from 1 species
CCUACGGGUGGCAGCAGUAGGGAAUAUUGCUCAAUGGGGGAAACCCUGAAGCAGCAACGCCGCGUGGAGGAUGAAGGUUUUAGGAUUGUAAACUCCUUUUGUGAGAGAAGAUAAUGACGGUAUCUCACGAAUAAGCACCGGCUAACUCCGUGCCAGCAGCCGCGGUAAUACGGAGGGUGCAAGCGUUACUCGGAAUCACUGGGCGUAAAGAGUGCGCAGGCGGGCUUGUAAGUCAGAUGUGAAAUCCUGUAGCUUAACUACAGAAUUGCAUUUGAAACUGUUAUUCUAGAGUAUGGGAGAGGUAGGUGGAAUUCUUGGUGUAGGGGUAAAAUGCGUAGAGAUCAAGAGGAAUACUCAUUGCGAAGGCGACCUGCUAGAACAUAACUGACGCUGAUGCGCGAAAGCGUGGGGAGCAAACAGGAUUAGAUACCCCAGUAGUC